rnacentral:tRNA from 1 species
GCGGUCGUAGCUCAGUUGGUUAGAGUGCCGGCCUGUCACGCCGGAGGUCGCGGGUUCGAGCCCCGUCGACCGCGCCA